CCUGCUGUGCGCCUUUCUUAUAUGUCUUUGGCCUAGCCUUUCAUCUGUUGCGGUGACCUGGAAAUACCGCUGAAAGAAGGCAGCACCAGUUUUCAACAAACUCUUAACCCCUGCUGGACUGUGUUUCACUGUUUCGAUUUGGACUCCACAAGGACUUUUUAUUUUAUGGGCUGUUAUCAGACACGUGACCACUAAAGAUUUAUAUGCAGAAUUUGGAUUGGAUUUGGAAGACUAAAAAUAAAGCAGAUGAUGUUUUUUUUCUGGAUAUAUAUGUUAGACUCAUUACAGAUUAGUUACAUGUAAAAUGAGUAAAAUCUGUUGAUGUAAAAUAUUUAGAGGGAAGGCAAGAACUCUCAAGUUACACAGCACCAAGGGACAUUUAAGAAGUGACAUCAUUAGUGUGAAAAAGCAGCUCUUCAAACGGGUGAAAAAAUAUUAAGUAAAUAUUGUUUAAAUGAAAACGUAAACAGCAAUAUCAGUUUUGUGCUUUCUAGUAAUUCCCAUUGGCUCCUUCCUGCCAGUACUUAGUGACUAAUAGUUACUUCCUGCCAGUACUUAGUGACUGAUAGCUUCUUCCUGCCAGUACUUAUUGUCUGAUAGCUACAUCCUACCAGUACUUACUGACUGAUAGCUACUUCCUGCCAGUACUUACUGACUGAUAGCUUCUUCCUGCCAUUAUUUACUGAUUGAUAGCUUCUUCCUGCCAGUACUUAUUGUCUGAUAGCUACAUCCUACCAGUACUUACUGACUGAUAGCUACUUCCUACCAGUACUUACUGACUGAUAGCUUCUUCCUGCCAGUACUUACUGACUGAUAGCUUCUUCCUGCCAGUACUUAUUGUCUGAUAGCUACAUCCUACCAGUACUUACUGACUGAUAGCUACUUCCUACCAGUACUUACUGACUGAUAGCUACAUCCUACCAGUACUUACUAACUGAUAGCUACAUCCUACCAGUACUUACUAACUGAUAGCUACAUCCUACCAGUACUUACUAACUGAUAGCUACUUCCUACCAGUACUUACUAACUGAUAGCUACUUCCUACCAGUACUUACUGACUGAUAGCUACUUCCUACCAGUACUUACUAACUGAUAGCUACAUCCUACCAGUACUUACUGACUGAUAGCUACUUCCUGCCAGUACUUACUAACUGAUAGCUUCUUCCUGCCAGUACUUACUGACUGAUAGCUUCUUCCUGCCAGUACUUAUUGUCUGAUAGCUACAUCCUACCAGUACUUACUGACUGAUAGCUACUUCCUGCCUGUACUUACUGACUGAUAGCUACUUCCUGCCAGUACUUACUAACUGAUAGCUUCUUCCUGCCUGUACUUACUAACUGAUAGCUUCUUCCUGCCAGUACUUAUUGACUGAUAGCUUCUUCCUGCCAGUACUUAUUGUCUGAUAGCUUCUUCCUGCCAGUAAUUAUUGUCUGAUAGCUACAUCCUACCAGCACUUACUGACUAAUAGUUACUUCCUGUCAGCACUUACUGUCUGAUAGCUUCUUCCGGCCAGUACUUACUGACUGAUAGCUACUUCCUGCCAGUACUUACUGACUGAUAGCUUCUUCCUGCCAGUAAUUAUUGUCUGAUAGCUUCUUCCUGCCAGUACUUACUGACUGAUAGCUUCUUCCUGCCAGUACUUACUAACUGAUAGCUUCUUCCUGCCAGUACUUAUUGACUGAUAGCUUCUUCCUGCCAGUACUUAUUGUCUGAUAGCUUCUUCCUGCCAGUAAUUAUUGUCUGAUAGCUACAUCCUACCAGCACUUACUGACUAAUAGUUACUUCCUGUCAGCACUUACUGUCUGAUAGCUUCUUCCGGCCAGUACUUACUGACUGAUAGCUACUUCCUGCCAGUACUUACUGACUGAUAGCUUCUUCCUGCCAGUAAUUAUUGUCUGAUAGCUUCUUCCUGCCAGUACUUACUGACUGAUAGCUUCUUCCUGCCAGUACUUACUGACUGAUAGCUUCUUCCUGCCAGUAAUUAUUGUCUGAUAGCUUCUUCCUGCCAGUACUUACUGACUGAUAGCUUCUUCCUGCCAGUACUUACUGACUGAUAGCUUCUUCCUGCCUGUACUUACUGACUGAUAGCUUCUUCCUGCCAGUACUUACUGACUGAUAGCUUCUUCCUGCCAGUACUUACUGACUGAUAGCUUCUUCCUGCCAGUAAUUAUUGUCUGAUAGCUUCUUCCUGCCAGUACUUACUGACUGAUAGCUUCUUCCUGCCAGUACUUACUGACUGAUAGCUUCUUCCUGCCAGUAAUUAUUGUCUGAUAGCUUCUUCCAGCCAGUACUUACUGACUGAUAGCUUCUUCCAGCCAGUACUUACUGACUGAUAGCUUCUUCCAGCCAGUACUUACUGACUGAUAGCUUCUUCCUGCCAGUACUUACUGACUGAUAGCUUCUUCCUGCCAGUAAUUAUUGUCUGAUAGCUUCUUCCAGCCAGUACUUACUGAAUGAUAGCUUCUUCCAGCCAGUACUUACUGUCUGAUAGCUUCUUCCAGCCAGUACUUACUGACUGAUAGCUUCUUCCAGCCUGUACUUACUGUCUGAUAGCUUCUUCCUGCCAGUACUUACUGACUGAUAGCUUCUUCCUGCCUGUACUUACUGUCUGAUAGCUUCUUCCUGCCAGUACUUACUGACUGAUAGCUUCUUCCUGCCAGUAAUUAUUGUCUGAUAGCUUCUUCCAGCCAGUACUUAGUGACUGAUAGCUUCUUCCUGCCAGUACUUACUGACUGAUAGCUACUUUCUGCCUGUACUUACUGACUGAUAGCUACUUCCUGCCAGUACUUACUGACUGAUAGCUUCUUCCUGCCAGUACUUACUGACUGAUAGCUACUUCCUGCCAGUACUUACUGACUGAUAGCUUCUUCCUGCCAGUAAUUAUUGUCUGAUAGCUUCUUCCAGCCAGUACUUACUGACUGAUAGCUUCUUCCAGCCAGUACUUACUGACUGAUAGCUACUUCCUGCCAGUACUUAUUGUCUGAUAGCUACUUCCUGCCAGUACUUACUGACUGAUAGCUUCUUCCAGCCAGUACUUACUGACUGAUAGCUACUUCCUACCAGUACUUACUGACUGAUAGCUUCUUCCUGCCAUUAUUUUCUGACUGAUAGCUACUUCCUGCCAGCACUUAUUGACUGAUAGCUUCUUCCUGCUAGUACUUACUGUCUGAUAGCUACUUCCGGCCAGUACUUACUGACUGAUAGCUUCUUCCUGCCAGUACUUACUGACUAUGGGCUACUUCCUGCCAGUACUUAUUGACUGAUAGCUACUUCCUGCCGGUACUUACUGACUGAUAGCUUCUUCCUGCCAGUACUUACUGACUGAUAGCUUCUUCCUGCCAGUACUUAUUUUCUGAUAGCUACUUCCUUGCAUUGCUUACUGAUAGCUGUUUCCUGCCAGUACUUUUUAUCUGAUAGCUACUUAAUCCCAGUACUUACUGACUGAUACCUACUUCCUGACAGUACUUACUGACUGAUAGCUACUUCCUGUCAGUACUUACUGACUGAUACCUACUUCCUGCCAGUACUUACUGACUGAUAGCUAUUUCCUGUAAAUGAUCAUUGGUACAUUAGUAGGAAAUACACAAGUGACACUACCAUAUUAGUUUAUUUAAAUUGUAACUGCUUCUAUUUUACAUUUUUAAGCAAAAACUAAAAACACCAUAUUUAAAUGCCACUUUUUCAUAGUGAUAAUGGAACAUGGCCCCUUUCCAAAUUUAGUAUUAAUACAGAGGAAGAUAAUUAAUAUUGUUACUGUACUGUUAGCCUCUUGAGAUGUGAUGUGUAUUCAAUAAUAUCUACAAAAUAAAAUGGUACAGCUGGA